CAUUUUGGAACGUUUUAAACAUUUUUUUAAUUAUAUAUUUCACCUUUGAAGGUGUCACUGGUAGGAUAUGACCAGAAUCCAAUGGUGGCUUCAAAAAGGGGCAACAUAUCACCAGAGCUGUUUCCUACCUAUCCUUGGCUGUGGCUAGCUACCAUUAGCUAAUUAGCUCAUGGAUCAGUUGGCUGUGGAACCAUUUGUGCCAGACUUUGCCAGGACCACAACCUCGGAUCACAAUCACCAGGGGCAACUUCGCACAGCUAAACCGGGUUUAGCAGCCUGAGAGUGAGCGCGGCUACUUUGGUUCUGACCAGGACCGAUUCAGGCGGGGUCAGGGGAGGCAUUUGGCGCCAGGGGAGAGAGAGUCGGGCACUAGCAUCCUACAUCUUACUCGGUGAACAGAGGAUUUUUUUUAAAAACCGAACCAGACGUGAUUGUGGAAAGCAAAAGAAAGACUGUUUUGCUGGACAGAGAGACCGGUGUGCCAAAGACGAACGGAUCAGAUGUUGAUGGAACUCUCUGAUGAUUCUGAUUUCACCAUUACGUGAUCCACUCUCACCAUUAGAUGAUCUAGUUUUCACUUUAAUGGGAACAGGUAUUCUCAAGGUGUGUCUGAGGAGACGUGACUGCGGCUUGGUAUCAAACGUCAGUCAUUUUUGAGAGCCAACUGGGAUGCAUCUGUACCACCAAUCAUCAAUGACUGUCAUUAUAGAAAAUGUUACUUAUUAGACUUAGAUUUUAAUCAAACUGGCAAUAGACUUGUUUUUCGAAGUUUGUAGUUUGAGGAUUGAAGAUCACUUUCACUGUCUCCCAGGAAAAUUAAGGCUGUCUGGCGGCAUUUUUAUCUGCUUUCAUGUCACCAUUAUUUGCUAAAUGGAUAAAUAAAGUCACAUUUUGUCCUGUGUAGUUGGUAGUUACUCUGAAGUAAAUGGAAAGCAAUCUGUUUGUCUUGGCACUAACAGUAAAACCUUUUGGAAGUGCUGUGGCGAAGACAAUGGAAACAUUAUUCUCUAAAAUAAAGUAUCCAAAAUGG